rnacentral:rRNA from 1 species
AGCUCCAAUAGCGUAUAUUAAUGUUGUUGCAGUUAAAAAGCUCGUAGUUGGAUUUCUGUUUGAAGUAUGCGUUCUUGGUCGUAAGAUCUUUGAAUAGUGUGCUUUAGGCAUCCUGUAGAAGAACGUUAUCGUCAUUUAUUUGGUGUUAACGGGAAUCUACUCGUUUACUGUGAAAAAAUUAGAGUGUUUAAAGCAGGCAUUUGCACUGAAUACAUUAGCAUGGAAUAAUAAGAUAGGACUUUGGUACUAUUUUGUUGGUUUGUAUACCAAGGUAAUGAUUAACAGGAACAGUUGGGGGUAUUCGUAUUUAAUUGUCAGAGGUGAAAUUCUUGGAUUUAUGAAAGACGAACUACUGCGAAAGCAUUUACCAAGGAUGUUUUCAUUAAUCAAGAACGAAAGU